UGAUUCCCUGAUGUCUCAGAGCCUCACCUCCAUCAAGCUGGCCUGUGACUAAGCUGGUGGGGACUGAGUCCACAGACUAAUGCACUUGGUGCUUUCGGGCUGAAGGGGAAGAAGCUGGACCAGGAGGAACCGUGCUGAGUUCGUGUUUUUCUGGGAGUAAAGUCUCCUCUUAAGAAGAUGGAGAAACUGAGUCCAGAGGUGUGGGAUGAUUUACCACAGCAUUGGCCUCUUAUCAGGGCAGCCCCAGGAUUCGGCUUCCCCGUGUUAUGGGUGAUGGAUAGCAGACGAGAUCUCCGAAGAGCAGACAAUUCGAGGCGGCUUAGGUACGCUUGAGUUUUGGAUGCAAGUAAGGAGCUUGUCGGUGUGAAAAUCCUGGGGCGGCUCCGAGUCGCCCAAGAGCAUCCUGUGAGAACCUGUACAUCAUCUCCACCUUUCCCCCUGAGAAAGGUGUUGGUCUAAUACUGUGCUUCGGACGCCCCAGUGACACGGAUGCCUUGCUCUUCCUGGGAAAGCCACGUCACAGCUGCAGGGGCCUGUCCACGUCGUUCCUCUAGCUGUUUAGUCUGAAUGUUUCCCCUUCUCAGUUUUGAUUUGCAGGUCCCUAAUGAUUAGCAUCUCUUCGAGUGCUUAUUGGCCUUUCGUAUGUCUCUCCUUUCGAGAAGUGCGUAUUCAAGUCCUUUGCUCACUUUUC